GACGAGCGCUGGCGGCGUGCCUAAUACAUGCAAGUCGAACGCUUCUUUUUCCACCGGAGCUUGCUCCACCGGAAAAAGAAGAGUGGCGAACGGGUGAGUAACACGUGGGUAACCUGCCCAUCAGAAGGGGAUAACACUUGGAAACAGGUGCUAAUACCGUAUAACAAUCAAAACCGCAUGGUUUUGAUUUGAAAGGCGCUUUCGGGUGUCGCUGAUGGAUGGACCCGCGGUGCAUUAGCUAGUUGGUGAGGUAACGGCUCACCAAGGCCACGAUGCAUAGCCGACCUGAGAGGGUGAUCGGCCACACUGGGACUGAGACACGGCCCAG
rnacentral:rRNA from 1 species